rnacentral:rRNA from 1 species
GGGUGAGUAACACGUAAGUAAUCUACCUUCGAGUGGGGAAUAACGUUCGGAAACGAACGCUAAUACCGCAUAAUGCAGCGGCAUCGCAAGAUGACAGUUGUUAAAGAUUUAUCGCUUGAAGAGGAGCUUGCGGCAGAUUAGCUAGUUGGUAAGGUAAUGGCUUACCAAGGCAACGAUCUGUAUCCGGUCUAAGAGGACGGUCGGACACACUGACACUGAAUAACGGGUCAGACUCCUACGGGAGGCAGCAGUCGGGAAUUUUGGGCAAUGGGCGAAAGCCUGACCCAGCAACGCCGCGUGAAGGAUGAAGUUUUUCGGAAUGUAAACUUCGUAAGAAUAGGAAGAAUAAAUGACGGUACUAUUUGUAAGGUCCGGCUAACUACGUGCCAGCAGCCGCGGUAAUACGUAGGGACCAAGCGUUGUUCGGAUUUACUGGGCGUAAAGGGCGCGUAGGCGGCAAUUCAAGUCAGCUGUGAAAUCUCCGGGCUUAACUCGGAACGGUCAGCUGAUACUGCUUUGCUAGAGUGCAGAAGGGGCAAUCGGAAUUCUUGGUGUAGCGGUGAAAUGCGUAGAUAUCAAGAGGAACACCUGAGGUGAAGACGGGUUGCUGGGCUGACACCGACGCUGAGGCGCGAAAGCUAGGGUAGCAAACGGGAUUAGAUACCCCGGUAGUCCUAGCCCUAAACGAUGAAUACUUGGUGUCUGGAGUUUUUAUCCUCCGGGUGCCGUCGCUAACGUUUUAAGUAUUCCGCCUGGGGAGUACCCACGCAAGUGUGAAACUCA